UGGGGCGGUGGCCCUGUCCCAUGGGGUGGUGGCAUUGUGGUGUGUCCCAUGGGGCGGUGGCAUCAUGUCCCAUGGUGUGGUGGCAUCUCGUUGUGGGGUGGUGGCUCUGUGUCCCAUGGGGUGGUGGCAUCGCGUUGUGGGGUGGUGGCAUCGCGUUGUGGGGUGGUGGCAUCGCGUUGUGGGGUGGUGGCAUCGCGUUGUGGGGUGGUGGCAUCGCGUUGUGGGAUGGUGGCUUGAUGUCCCAUGGGGUGGUGGCCCUGUCCCGUGGGGUGGUGACAUUGUGGUGUGUCCCGUGGGGAGGUCGCAUCAUGAUGUCCCGUGGGGUGGUGGCAUCACCGUGAGGGAUGGUGGCUUAAUGUCCCAUGGGAUGGUGGCUCUGUCCUAUGGGGUGAUGGCAUCGCGCUGUGGGGCGGUGGCGCUGUGCUGCGCUGUGGGGCGGAGGCACUGUGCUGUGGGGCGGUGGCGUUGGCCGUGGGGCAGCGUGGAAUGUGGGGCAGGGCUGGCCAUGGGGCUCCGUUGCGAUCCCCUUGGGGUUCCCCUUGGGAUCUUAUUGGGGUUCCCCUUGGGAUCUUAUUGGGGUUCCCAUUGCUGUUCCUUUUGGGGUUCCCAUUGCUGUUCUUUUGGGGUUCCCAUUGCAGGUCCCAUUGGGUUCCCGUUGCUGUUCCUUUUGGGGUUCCAUUGCAUGUCCCCUUGGGUUCCCCUUGGGUUCCCCUUGGGUUCCCCUUGGGUUCCCCUUGGGUUCCCCUUGGGUUCCCCUUGGGUUCCCCUUGGGGUUCCCUUUGGGGUUCCUAUUGCCAUUCCCUUUGGGGUUCCUAUUGCCAUUCCCAUUGAGUUCCCAUUAGGGUUCCUAUUGCCGUUACCAUUGGGUUUCUCACUGGGAUCCUGUUGGGGUUCCUAUUGCGGAUCCCCUUGGGAUCUUUUUGGGGUUCCAGUUAGGAUUCCCAUUGCGUUCCUGUUGGGGUUCCUAUUGCGGUUCCCAUUGGGUUCCCCUUGGGGUUCCCAUUGCCGUUCCUUUUGAGAUCCCAUUGGGUUCCCCUUGGGGUUCCCAGUGCUGCUCCCUUUGGGAUCUUUUUGGGGUUCCCCUUGGGCUUCCUAUUGCCAUUCCCAUUGGGGUUCCCAUUGGGGUUCCUGUUGGGUUUCUCACUGGGAUCCUUUUGGGGUUCCACUUGGGGUUCCCCUUGGGCUUCCUAUUGCCUUUCCUAUUGGGAUUCCCUUUGGGGUUCCCAUUGGAUUUCUCACUGGGAUCCUGUUGGGAUCCCAUUGGGGUUCCCAUUGGGGUUCCCAUUGCCGUUCCCUUUGGGAUCCUUUUGGGGUUCCCCUUGGGGUUCCUAUUGCGGAUCCCCUUGGGAUCUUUUUGGGGUUCCAGUUGGGAUUCCCAUUGGGUUCCUGUUGGGGUUCCUAUUGCGGUUCCC
rnacentral:lncRNA from 1 species